rnacentral:rRNA from 1 species
AGCAGCCGCGGUAAUUCCAGCUCCAAUAGCGUAUAUUAAAGUUGCUGCAGUUAAAAAGCUCGUAGUUGAAUUUCGGGACCAUCAUGUCGGUCGUGCCUCGGUACGUACUGGCAUUGUUGGUUUCUACCUUCUGACGAACCAUGAUGUCAUUUAUUUGGUGUCGUGGGAAAUCAGGACUGUUACUUUGAAAAAAUUAGAGUGUUUAAAGCAGGCUCACGCUUGAAUACAUUAGCAUGGAAUAAUGAAAUAGGACGUUUGAUUCUAUUUUGUUGGUUUCUAGGAUCGACGUAAUGAUUAAUAGGGAUAGUUGGGGGCAUUAGUAUUCAAUUGUCAGAGGUGAAAUUCUUGGAUUUAUUGAAGACUAACUACUGCGAAAGCAUUUGCCAAGGAUGUUUUCAUUAAUCAAGAACGAAAGUUAGGGGAUCGAAGACGAUCAGAUACCGUCGUAGUCUUAACCAUAAACUAUGCCGACUAGGGAUCGGAUGAUGUUAAUCUUUUAAUGACUCAUUC